rnacentral:rRNA from 1 species
UACAGAGGUCCCGAGCGUUGUUCGGAUUCACUGGGCGUAAAGGGUGCGUAGGUGGCUUGCAAAGUUUGAUGUGAAAGCUCAGGGCUUAACCCUGAAAUGGCAUUGAAUACUGUCGGGCUGGAGGUUUGGAGGGGGGACUGGAAUUCUUGGUGUAGCAGUGAAAUGCGUAGAUAUCAAGAGGAACACCAGUGGCGAAGGCGAGUCCCUGGACAACACCUGACACUGAGGCACGAAAGCUAGGGGAGCAAACAGG